rnacentral:rRNA from 1 species
GUGAGGAAUAUUGGUCAAUGGGCGGGAGCCUGAACCAGCCAAGUCGCGUGAAGGAAGAAGGAUCUAUGGUUCGUAAACUUCUUUUGCAGGGGAAUAAAGUGCAGGACGUGUCCUGUUUUGUAUGUACCCUGAGAAUAAGGAUCGGCUAACUCCGUGCCAGCAGCCGCGGUAAUACGGAGGAUCCGAGCGUUAUCCGGAUGUAUUGGGUUUAAAGGGUGCGUAGGUGGUUUGAUAAGUCAGCGGUGAAAGUUUGCAGCUUAACUGUAAAAAUGCCGUUGAAGCUGUCGGACUUGAGUGUAAAUGAGGUAGGCGGAAUGCGUGGUGUAGCGGUGAAAUGCAUAGAUAUCACGCAGAACUCCGAUUGCGAAGGCAGCUUACUAAGCUACAACUGACACUGAAGCACGAAAGCGUGGGGAUCAAACAGGAUUAGAUACCCGGGUAGUCC